AAAUUCAUCGUCCUUUGUGUGGUUUUAGGCGUUGUGAGCAGCUCUCGGAAAGCUACAGGCUGGCCCAAGCUGUGCAAAACGGAUGCUGACUGCUCGCAUUACUUUCCCUACUGCGGGGAGGGCAAAUGUCGCCCGGUUACAACAUUCUGCAUUUCCGGCGAACGCGGCGUUGCCGGAUGUAACACAUGUAAAUGCGUACGUCACGGCUGGGCUUGUACAAAAAUUUACUGCAGGUCAUAUAAGCAUAAAGGAGCGGUACCGUGUCGGCUGGCAGGGGACCUGCCACUGUGCCGUUAAAUAUCUUCGGCACUGCUUCGGCAACUUCAGCUGGAAUUGCAAGAGCACGGCCACCACUUUCAGAGGCAGCUUUGGAGCUGGUAAUGGGAGUUUCUGAACGUGUGAAAAAUCCGCGCACAAAAAAAAUACAAUAUGCUUUGGGGGAUCGCACGCACGAAGAACUGUGAGUCAAGACAAAGAGUACAGACACCUCUGAUGCGCUCUGAAACAUGAUGUGAUGAUCCAAAAUGAUGUAUUCAUCGCAACAUCUGUCUGUGAUGACCCUGAAAACGCCUCUUUUAACACCACAAAUGCAGUUUUUGACACCGCUUUCAGGAGUUCUGUAUUUCUUUUCACACAUAAUGCGACCAGACCGAAACCAGCCCAGAACUUUGCGCCCUGACCAGACCUCUGCGACAGAACGCAAACUUUGCUGCACUUCUUAUUGUUAUUUUGUGUGGAAAAUAAACCAUCAGGCGGUCA